CCCCCUCCCCCCCCUUUUUUUUUUUUUUUUUUUUUUUUUUUUUUUUUUUUUUUUUUUUUUUUUUUUUUUUUUUUUUUUUUUAUGUA